CUUGGAUAAUGUACACCUCAUCCUAGGCGCAAAGCUUUUUGCAUUUCCCUAUUUGAUUUAUCGUUGCUGUUACCAGAUAACAAUGGCAAGGAGAUGUCUAUCAGUGCAUGAAGUCCACGACAAGAUGAGAAGGUGGACAGUGCUUGUGCAAGUUAUGGAGAAAUCGCACGUGUUAACCAGUAACAGAUCACCGCCUAUCAGAUUUCAGCGCCUCGUGUUAACAGAUUCUGAGGGGACUAUGGUUUCAACUGUCAUUUAUGGAAACGACAUUCGUUAUUUUGCUAAUCUGCUGCAACCGUUCAAGUAAUACUAUAUCACUGGUGGGACUGUCAAAAAAUAGGAUGCAAAGUAUAAAGUUAGUGACUAUCAGUUCUCAUGGGUGCUUCAUAACAAGACAUUAGUUGAAGAGUAUGUUGAGCCAAAUCCACCAAUGCUACCAUGCACUUUCGAAUUGACCAAAUUUGAAGACCUUUUUAGGUUCGCAGUCACAGAGAAUGUUCAGAAUUUACAAGCUGUUGUUGUCACUGCAUUUGCGACAAAGGAACAGAAUAACGGGUGUAAAA